rnacentral:rRNA from 2 species
AGUAACACGUAGGUAACCUGCCCCGGAGCGGGGGAUAACAUUUGGAAACAGAUGCUAAUACCGCAUAACAACAAAAGCCACAUGGCUUUUGUUUGAAAGAUGGCUUUGGCUAUCACUCUGGGAUGGACCUGCGGUGCAUUAGCUAGUUGGUAAGGUAACGGCUUACCAAGGCGAUGAUGCAUAGCCGAGUUGAGAGACUGAUCGGCCACAAUGGAACUGAGACACGGUCCAUACUCCUACGGGAGGCAGCAGUAGGGAAUCUUCCACAAUGGGCGCAAGCCUGAUGGAGCAACACCGCGUGAGUGAAGAAGGGUUUCGGCUCGUAAAGCUCUGUUGUUGGAGAAGAACGUGCGUGAGAGUAACUGUUCACGCAGUGACGGUAUCCAACCAGAAAGUCACGGCUAACUACGUGCCAGCAGCCGCGGUAAUACGUAGGUGGCAAGCGUUAUCCGGAUUUAUUGGGCGUAAAGCGAGCGCAGGCGGUUGCUUAGGUCUGAUGUGAAAGCCUUCGGCUUAACCGAAGAAGUGCAUCGGAAACCGGGCGACUUGAGUGCAGAAGAGGACAGUGGAACUCCAUGUGUAGCGGUGGAAUGCGUAGAUAUAUGGAAGAACACCAGUGGCGAAGGCGGCUGUCUGGUCUGCAACUGACGCUGAGGCUCGAAAGCAUGGGUAGCGAACAGGAUUAGAUACCCUGGUAGUCCAUGCCGUAAACGAUGAGUGCUAGGUGUUGGAGGGUUUCCGCCCUUCAGUGCCGGAGCUAACGCAUUAAGCACUCCGCCUGGGGAGUACGACCGCAAGGUUGAAACUCAAAGGAAUUGACGGGGGCCCGCACAAGCGGUGGAGCAUGUGGUUUAAUUCGAAGCUACGCGAAGAACCUUACCAGGUCUUGACAUCUUGCGCUAACCUUAGAGAUAAGGCGUUCCCUUCGGGGACGCAAUGACAGGUGGUGCAUGGUCGUCGUCAGCUCGUGUCGUGAGAUGUUGGGUUAAGUCCCGCAACGAGCGCAACCCUUGUUACUAGUUGCCAGCAUUAAGUUGGGCACUCUAGUGAGACUGCCGGUGACAAACCGGAGGAAGGUGGGGACGACGUCAGAUCAUCAUGCCCCUUAUGACCUGGGCUACACACGUGCUACAAUGGACGGUACAACGAGUCGCAAGCUCGCGAGAGUAAGCUAAUCUCUUAAAGCCGUUCUCAGUUCGGACUGUAGGCUGCAACUCGCCUACACGAAGUCGGAAUCGCUAGUAAUCGCGGAUCAGCAUGCCGCGGUGAAUACGUUCCCGGGCCUUGUACACAC